UACGGGGGGGGGCAAGCGUUGUUCGGAAUUACUGGGCGUAAAGGGCUCGUAGGCGGCCAACUAAGUCAGACGUGAAAUCCCUCGGCUUAACCGGGGAACUGCGUCUGAUACUGGAUGGCUUGAGUUCGGGAGAGGGAUGCGGAAUUCCAGGUGUAGCGGUGAAAUGCGUAGAUAUCUGGAGGAACACCUGUGGUGUAGACAGCUUACUGGACCACUUCUGACGCUGAGACACGAAAGCGUGGGUAGCAAACAGG
rnacentral:rRNA from 1 species